UGCUGGUGAAAGUCCAGCCCCAAGUCGCCUAGUAGCUGACAGGCAACUGGUGGAGAAAUCCUAAGGUUGAAGCCCUGUGACAAAGUAACUUCUAUUUAGAAGUGCGAGCGAAUCAGCAGACCGUAACAUA
rnacentral:ncRNA from 1 species